UAAUGUAUUUUGGAUUUCAGGU
rnacentral:miRNA from 1 species